rnacentral:rRNA from 1 species
UGGGGAAUUUUGGACAAUGGGCGCAAGCCUGAUCCAGCAAUGCCGCGUGCAGGAUGAAGGCCUUCGGGUUGUAAACUGCUUUUGUACGGAGCGAAAAGGUCUGCCCUAAUACGGUGGGCUCAUGACGGUACCGUAAGAAUAAGCACCGGCUAACUACGUGCCAGCAGCCGCGGUAAUACGUAGGGUGCAAGCGUUAAUCGGAAUUACUGGGCGUAAAGCGUGCGCAGGCGGUUAUGCAAGACAGAGGUGAAAUCCCCGGGCUCAACCUGGGACCUGCAUUUGUGACUGUAUCGCUAGAGUACGGUAGAGGGGGAUGGAAUUCCGCGUGUAGCAGUGAAAUGCGUAGAUAUGCGGAGGAACACCGAUGGCGAAGGCAAUCCCCUGGACCUGUACUGACGCUCAUGCACGAAAGCGUGGGGAGCAAACA